CCUACGGGAGGCAGCAGUGGGGAAUUUUGGACAAUGGGGGAAACCCUGAUCCAGCGAUGCCGCGUGUGUGAAGAAGGCCUUCGGGUUGUAAAGCACUUUUGUUCGGGAAGAAAUCUGUCGGGCUAAUACCCUGGCGGGAUGACGGUACCGGAAGAAUAAGCACCGGCUAACUACGUGCCAGCAGCCGCGGUAAUACGUAGGGUGCGAGCGUUAAUCGGAAUUACUGGGCGUAAAGCGUGCGCAGGCGGUUUCAUAAGACAGAUGUGAAAUCCCCGGGCUUAACCUGGGAAUUGCAUUUGUGACUGUGAGACUAGAGUGUGUCAGAGGGAGGUGGAAUUCCGCGUGUAGCAGUGAAAUGCGUAGAGAUGCGGAGGAACACCGAUGGCGAAGGCAGCCUCCUGGGAUAACACUGACGCUCAUGCACGAAAGCGUGGGGAGCAAACAGGAUUAGAUACCCCUGUAGUC
rnacentral:rRNA from 1 species